GACGGCGUGGCCGAGUGGUCCAAGGCGUUGGAGUAAGGUUCCAAUGAGCGACAGCUCACGCGCGUUCGAAUCGCGUCGCCGUCA
rfam:Cyanidioschyzon merolae strain 10D DNA, chromosome 16, complete genome.